CCCAAACACUUAGGAUCAAUUGUACCCUCAAUAUACAACCAAUCUAACUCGAAAAACAACUCGGAAACAUGAAUCAACUCACCCCCAAGCAUCAACAACUCAACCAACAAGAAUUCUACAAUUUGUUCUUCAAGAACCUUACUUCUUCAACAUGUAAACAACUCAAAACAAUUGGAUUGAAACAAGUUGGUGUGUGGGUGAACUAACCCAACACAAAAAGAUCUCACAUACCUUAAUAGGGAUCACCCCCG
rnacentral:lncRNA from 1 species